UACGUAGGGACCAAGCGUUGUUCGGAUUUACUGGGCGUAAAGGGCGCGUAGGCGGCAAUUCAAGUCAUCUGUGAAAUCUCCGGGCUUAACUCGGAAUGGUCAGGUGAUACUGCUUUGCUAGAGUGCAGAAGGGGGCAAUCGGAAUUCUUGGUGUAGCGGUGAAAUGCGUAGAUAUCAAGAGGAACACCUGAGGUGAAGACGGGUUGCUGGGCUGACACUGACGCUGAGGCGCGAAAGCUAGGGGGAGCAAACGGG
rnacentral:rRNA from 1 species